rnacentral:rRNA from 1 species
UAGGGAAUCUUCGGCAAUGGACGGAAGUCUGACCGAGCAACGCCGCGUGAGUGAAGAAGGUUUUCGGAUCGUAAAGCUCUGUUGUUAGAGAAGAACGUUGGUAGGAGUGGAAAAUCUACCAAGUGACGGUAACUAACCAGAAAGGGACGGCUAACUACGUGCCAGCAGCCGCGGUAAUACGUAGGUCCCGAGCGUUGUCCGGAUUUAUUGGGCGUAAAGCGAGCGCAGGCGGUUCUUUAAGUCUGAAGUUAAAGGCAGUGGCUUAACCAUUGUACGCUUUGGAAACUGGAGGACUUGAGUGCAGAAGGGGAGAGUGGAAUUCCAUGUGUAGCGGUGAAAUGCGUAGAUAUAUGGAGGAACACCGGUGGCGAAAGCGGCUCUCUGGUGUGUAACUGACGCUGAGGCUCGAAAGCGUGGGGAGCAAACAGG